rnacentral:rRNA from 1 species
GACCCCAGGUCAGGCGGGAUUACCCGCUGAUUUUAAGCAUAUCAAAAAC